CCCUGCCAUUUGUACACACCGCCCGUCGCACCUACCGAUUGAAUGGUCCGGUGAAGCCUCGGGAUUGUGGUGAGUUCCCUUUAUUGGGAGUUCACCGCGAGAACUUGUCUGAACCUUAUCAUUUAGAGGAAGGUGAAGUCGUAACAAGGUUUC
rnacentral:rRNA from 1 species